rnacentral:rRNA from 1 species
GACGAACGCUGGCGGCGUGCUUAGCACAUGCAAGUCGAGCGAUGAAGCACCUUCGGGUGUGGAUUAGCGGCGAACGGGUGAGGAACACGUGAGGAAUCUGCCUUCCACUCUGGGAUAACUCCGGGAAACCGGGGCUAAUACCGGAUACUUUCAACUGGCGGCAUCGCCGGUUGAAGAAAGUUUUUCGGUGGAAGAUGACCUCGGGGCCUAUCAGCUUGUUGGGGAGGUAAUGGCGCACCAAGGCGACAACGGGUAGCCGGCCUGAGAGGGCGACCGGCCACACUGGGACUGAGGCACGGCCCAGACUCCUACGGGAGGCAGCAGUGGGGAAUAUUGGGCAAUGGAGGAGACUCUGACCCAGCGACGCCGCGUGAGGGAUGAAGGCCUUCAGGUUGUAAACCUCUUUCAGCAGGGAAUAAGCGAAAGUGAAGGUACCUGCAGAAGAAGCACCGACUAACUAUGUGCCAGCCGCCGCGGUAAGAC